AUUGAACGCUGGCGGCAUGCCUUACACAUGCAAGUCGAACGGCAGCACGGGGCAACCUGGUGGCGAGUGGCGAACGGGUGAGUAAUGCAUCGGAACGUACCUUUCAGUGGGGGAUAACGUAGCGAAAGUUACGCUAAUACCGCAUAUUCUGUGAGCAGGAAAGCAGGGGAUCGCAAGACCUUGCGCUGAUUGAGCGGCCGAUGUCAGAUUAGCUAGUUGGUGAGGUAAAGGCUCACCAAGGCGACGGUCUGUAGCGGGUCUGAGAGGAUGAUCCGCCACAAUGGAACUGAGACACGGGCCAGACUCCAACGGGAGGCAGCAGUGGGGAAUUUUGGACAAUGGGGGCAACCCUGAUCCAGCCAGGCCGCGUGAGGGAAGAAGGCCUUCGGGUUGUAAAGCUCUUUCGGCCGGGAAGAAAUCGCACGGGCUAAUACCCUGUGUGGAUGACGGUACCGGAAUAAGAAGCACCGGCUAACUACGUGCCAGCCGCCGCAGUAAUAC
rnacentral:rRNA from 1 species